GACGAACGCUGGCGGCGUGCUUAACACAUGCAAGUCGAACGGAAAGGCCCUGCUUUUGUGGGGUGCUCGAGUGGCGAACGGGUGAGUAACACGUGAGUAACCUGCCCUUGACUUUGGGAUAACUUCAGGAAACUGGGGCUAAUACCGGAUAGGAGCUCCUGCUGCAUGGUGGGGGUUGGAAAGUUUCGGCGGUUGGGGCUGGACUCGCGGCUUAUCAGCUUGUUGGUGGGGUAGUGGCUUACCAAGGCUUUGACGGGUAGCCGGCCUGAGAGGGUGACCGGCCACAUUGGGACUGAGAUACGGCCCAGAAUCCUACGGGAGGCAGCAGUGGGGAAUAUUGCACAAUGGGCGGAAGCCUGAUGCAGCAACGCCGCGUGCGGGAUGACGGCCUUCGGGUUGUAAACCGCUUUCGCCUGUGACGAAGCGUGAGUGACGGUAAUGGGUAAAGAAGCACCGGCUAACUACGUG
rnacentral:rRNA from 1 species